rnacentral:lncRNA from 1 species
CACGGGGCUGGGGUUUCAUCUGUGGCUCUGGGAUCCGAUAGCCAGGGGGGAGGGGAACGGAGUAAGAGGCAGCCGGUAGGUCACGUGACCGGAAGGGCUCCUGACGCAGUUCCUCCUUGGCGCGGUCCUGAGUGCUGCCUACGCCAGCAAUGGGGUGCUGUCACAGCAGCGAAAACGAAGACUCCGACCAGCCUCGUGUUCCUCACUCAAGUGUCCGAGUUUAGAGUAGAGCACAAGUGGAAAGAGCUGCCUCUGGAACACAGUAAGCAUCUCCACAAACAACCUGAGCACUUGUAGAAAGAAGAAUAAAUGCAGGGUGGUCAAAGGAACAGGUCCUGGUCCUUGUCAGUAACUUCUUACAUUAUUUGGGGAGCUCAGAUUGACACAUGAAGGAGUAAAAGAAAUUUUACCGUAGUGGAAGACAGAAUUAUAAAAAAACCCGCAUUUCAUUCGCUCCACUGAGGCUCUAGCACACAUGGGUUUUAUUCCCAUGCAUAUAUUAUACCUGACAUGGGAAAGAUACAAAGUUAUUUUGCAGAUAUAAAGUUAUUCCUCAGGUGACUUUAAACUAAGAUUAUUCCCACUGAGCUUGACCUAUCACAUGCACAUUUUCAAAGCAGUUUCCUCUGACAAGUAGUGUAAGAACUCAGGGAGACUUGAAGCGGC